rnacentral:rRNA from 1 species
ACGGGAGGCAGCAGUGGGGAAUAUUGCACAAUGGGGGAAACCCUGAUGCAGCGACGCCGCGUGAGUGAAGAAGUAUUUCGGUAUGUAAAGCUCUAUCAGCAGGGAAGAUAAUGACGGUACCUGACUAAGAAGCCCCGGCUAACUACGUGCCAGCAGCCGCGGUAAUACGUAGGGGGCAAGCGUUAUCCGGAUUUACUGGGUGUAAAGGGAGCGCAGACGGCCAUGCAAGUCUGAAGUGAAAUCCACGGGCUCAACCCGUGAACUGCUUUGGAAACUGUAAGGCUAGAGUGCAGGAGAGGUAAGUGGAAUUCCUAGUGUAGCGGUGAAAUGUGUAGAUAUUAGGAGGAACACCAGUGGCGAAGGCGGCUUACUGGACUGUAACUGACGUUGAGGCUCGAAAGCGUGGGGAGCAAACAGGAUUAGAUACCCUGGUA